CCCUUAGAUGUUCUGGGCCGCACGCGCGCUACACUGACGGAUUCAACGAGCUUACAACCUUGGCCGAAAGGUCUGGGUAAUCUCCAAAAUCCGUCGUGAUGGGGAUAGAUUAUUGCAAUUAUUAAUCUUCAACGAGGAAUGCCUAGUAAGCGCAAGUCAUCAGCUUGCGUUGAUUACGUCCCUGCCCUUUGUACACACCGCCCGUCGCUCCUACCGAUUGAAUGGUCCGGUGAAGCGUUUGGACUAUGGUUUUCUGAUGGUCCGCCGUUGGGUUACCGUGGGAAGUUCGUUAAACCUUAUCAUUUAGAGGAAGGAGAAGUCGUAACA
rnacentral:rRNA from 1 species